AACGAACGCUGGCGGCAGGCUUAACACAUGCAAGUCGAGCGCGUAGCAAUACGAGCGGCAGACGGGUGAGUAACACGUGGGAAUCUACCCAUCCCUGCGGAACAACUCCGGGAAACUGGAGCUAAUACCGCAUACGCCCUACGGGGGAAAGAUUUAUCGGGGAUGGAUGAGCCCGCGUUGGAUUAGCUAGUUGGUGGGGUAAAGGCCUACCAAGGCGAGGAUCCAUAGCUGGUCUGAGAGGAUGAUCAGCCACAUUGGGACUGAGACACGGCCCAAACUCCUACGGGAGGCAGCAGUGGGGAAUAUUGGACAAUGGGCGCAAGCCUGAUCCAGCCAUGCCGCGUGAGUGAUGAAGGCCUAGGGUUGUAAAGCUCUUUCACCGAUGAAGAUAAUGACGGUAGUCGGAGAAGAAGCCCCGGCUAACUUCGUGCCAGCCGCCGCGGUAA
rnacentral:rRNA from 1 species